rnacentral:rRNA from 1 species
AGUGAACGCUGGCGGUAGGCCUAACACAUGCAAGUCGAACGGCAGCACAGUAAGAGCUUGCUCUUACGGGUGGCGAGUGGCGGACGGGUGAGGAAUACAUCGGAAUCUACUUUUUCGUGGGGGAUAACGUAGGGAAACUUACGCUAAUACCGCAUACGACCUACUGGUGAAAGCAGGGGAUCUUCGGACCUUGCGCGAUUGAAUGAGCCGAUGUCGGAUUAGCUAGUUGGCGGGGUAAAGGCCCACCAAGGCGACGAUCCGUAGCUGGUCUGAGAGGAUGAUCAGCCACACUGGAACUGAGACAAGGUACAGACUCCUACGGGAGGAAGCAGUGGGGAAUAUUGGACAAUGGGCGCAAGCCUGAUCCAGCCAUACCGCGUGGGUGAAGAAGGCCUUCGGGUUGUAAAGCCCUUUUGUUGGGAAAGAAAAGCAGCAGGUUAAUACCCCGCUGUUCUGACGGUACCCAAAGAAUAAGCACCGGCUAACUUCGUG